rnacentral:rRNA from 1 species
AUGGGACAGAGGGAGUACAACAUAAAAACACAUGCCUUCUUUGCUCUCACGCUCUCUCCACUCCCGGCAGAAUCUUCGACUCUACUCCUUGGGGCCAAGAUUGCAAGUCUCCUUCAUUUGCAGCAGAUCACCUUCUUGUCAGGUUCGCUCAACCUCAGCAGGGGCUGCUGCUGGUGUAACAAGCAUCACUUCACUGGAUGUGAGAUGGGAAAUCAGGCCGUUGAUGGCGAACUUUCCCUCUACUAUUGCCCACAUGAACUCUUCCAUGUACCAAUAUUUCUAUUUUCUAGGAGUACAAUAGUGAAGCCCGCAAGUUUGCUCAUCCGGCUCUGA